GGGUACACGAGUGGCGAACGGGUGAGUAACACGUGGGUAAUCUGCCCUGCACUUCGGGAUAAGCCUGGGAAACCGGGUCUAAUACCGGAUAUGAGCUCCUGCCGCAUGGUGGGGGUUGGAAAGUUUUUCGGUGCAGGAUGAGUCCGCGGCCUAUCAGCUUGUUGGUGGGGUAAUGGCCUACCAAGGCGACGACGGGUAGCCGGCCUGAGAGGGUGAUCGGCCACACUGGGACUGAGACACGGCCCAGACUCCUACGGGAGGCAGCAGUGGGGAAUAUUGCACAAUGGGCGAAAGCCUGAUGCAGCGACGCCGCGUGGGGGAUGACGGUCUUCGGAUUGUAAACUCCUUUCAGUAGGGACGAAGCGAAAGUGACGGUACCUGCAGAAGAAGCACCGGCCAACUACGUGCCAGCAGCCGCGGUAAUACGUAGGGUGCAAGCGUUGUCCGGAAUUACUGGGCGUAAAGAGCUCGUAGGCGGUUUGUCACGUCGUCUGUGAAAUCCUCCAGCUCAACUGGGGGCGUGCAGGCGAUACGGGCAGACUUGAGUACUACAGGGGAGACUGGAAUUCCUGGUGUAGCGGUGAAAUGCGCAGAUAUCAGGAGGAACACCGGUGGCGAAGGCGGGUCUCUGGGUAGUAACUGACGCUGA
rnacentral:rRNA from 1 species